rnacentral:rRNA from 1 species
UCCGCCAGGGUACUACGAGCGCUAGCUUAAAACCCAAAGGACUUGACGGUGUCUCAAUCCCACCUAGAGGAGCCUGUUCUAGAACCGAUAAUCCUCGUUUAACCUCACCAUCCCUUGCUCCCUACCGCCUAUAUACCGCCGUCGCAAGCUUACCCUGUGAAGGUCUAACAGUAAGCAAAAUGGGCAAAGCCCAGAACGUCAGGUCGAGGUGUAGCUCACGAGAUGGGAAGAAAUGGGCUACAUUUUCUAUCACAGAACAUCACGGACAACACUAUGAAAUCAGUGUUUGAAGGUGGAUUUAGUAGUAAAAA